CAUUGGCUGAAUCUGUCUUUUGGCGUGCUGAGAGGCUAUUUUUUCUGAAUGGAGAGCAGGACCUGUCAGCAUUCUUACUUGUUGACUUGGGCAUUGUAAAAUAUCCUGCUUAUAACUGCAUAUUCACAGACCAGAUUUUUCCAGACAGAAGUGACCUGUUGUCUUAUGAGGAGGCCAUUGAGGUUGCACAAGUUAUGGAUGAGUCUCUUGACGAGAACAACAAUGAGUUGGUAUCAAGAUGCAUUGAGAUUUCUGCCUCUCAAGUAUCUAGCUUUGUGGAGGAAGAUAGAUCAUCACUUUUGGGGUCGAUGACUGCAUUUUUAUCUUGCUUUUCAG
rnacentral:misc_RNA from 1 species